rnacentral:misc_RNA from 1 species
GAUGAAGAACGUAGCGAAAUGCGAUACGUAAUGUGAAUUGCAGAAUUCAGUGAAUCAUCGAGUCUUUGAACGCACAUUGCGCCCUUUGGUAUUCCGAAGGGCAUGCCUGUUCGAGCGUCAUUAUCACCCCUCAAGCCCUCGGCUUGGUGUUGGACGGUUUGGUGGAGGCCCCCUCGGGGGCUCCUGCCCCUCCCAAAGACAAUGACGGCGGCCUCGUUGGACCCCCGGUACACUGAGUUCUUCACGGGACACGUAUCGGACACAUGGGUUUACGGGACACGGUCUGCCUCCCCUCAGGGAGAAUCUUUCUAAGGUUGACCUCGGAUCAGGUAGGGAUACCCGCUGAACCUAAGCAUAUCAAUAAGCGGAGGA